rnacentral:rRNA from 1 species
CACGUAGGGUGCGAGCGUUGUCCGGAAUUAUUGGGCGUAAAGAGCUCGUAGGCGGUGUGUCGCGUCGGCCGUGAAAACCUGUGGCUUAACCAUGGGCUUGCGGUCGAUACGGGCAUCACUGGAGUUCGGCAGGGGAGACUGGAAUUCCUGGUGUAGCGGUGAAAUGCGCAGAUAUCAGGAGGAACACCGGUGGCGAAGGCGGGUCUCUGGGCCGAUACUGACGCUGAGGAGCGAAAGCCAGGGGAGCAAACGGG